GAUGCAAUGAAUGGUUUGCAACUUACCCCAGCCGCCGGACAGCAACACAAGCCCGACCAGGGCAAAACGGAACAGUGGGAGAACAGGUGCGGUUGCCGUGUUGCCUGGAAGUGCUGGUUGCCUCGUCACGUUGGCGUACUCUGGGGUAUAGAUACCAACAGCUGAGACUGGCCAGACAUCUACAAGAGCAAGGAAGAACUUACUAGCAGUUGAUGACUCCACCAAAGAUCAUGCAGUAGAACGGUCACAAUCCACUUGUGUUCAAUCCCCCGCUGGGCCAGCUGCUGUGGGCUGUGUGCUGCGUGGCAACCUUCUCUGUGUUCCUCAGUACCUUGAUUCUCAUCUGCAAGGUAGCCAAUCGUGUUACUGUGCUUCCGUUACUGAUUCCCGAGUUCAGGAAACCACACUGAAGAAGUGAAGGAGGUGGUUUUAGUUGCACUUUUCUCAUUUUUUAAAAGCAGCUGUCUCGUUACUGAAGAGCUGAGCUCUUUGUAAUAAACCUUUUUUAAAGUUUUAGAACAAAUGUCAUCAAAUUAAAAGCUAAUAUCUA